rnacentral:siRNA from 1 species
CCAUUGGAUUUGGAGGAGC